UACGGGGAGGCAGCAGUGGGGGAUAUUGCACAAUGGGCGAAAGCCUGAUGCAGCAACGCCGCGUGAAGGAAGACGGUUUUCGGAUUGUAAACUUCUAUCAGCUGGGAAGAAAAUGACUGUACCAGACUAAGAAGCCCCGGCUAACUACGUGCCAGCAGCCGCGGUAAUACGUAGGGGGCAAGCGUUAUCCGGAUUUACUGGGUGUAAAGGGUACGUAGGCGGCUUACUAAGUCAGAUGUGAAAGCCCGGAGCUCAACUCCGGGACUGCAUUUGAAACUGGUGAGCUAGAGUACAGGAGAGGUAAGUGGAAUUCCUAGUGUAGCGGUGAAAUGCGUAGAUAUUAGGAAGAACACCAGUGGCGAAGGCGACUUACUGGACUGUAACUGACGCUGAGGUACGAAAGCGUGGGGAGCGAACAGGAUUAGAUACCCUGGUAGUCCWCGCMGUAAACGAUGAAUGCUAGGUGUCGGGGGUCGAACCUCGGUGCCGCAGUAACGCAAUAAGCAU
rnacentral:rRNA from 1 species